GUAGCCUUGCGCUUUCGAGGUUCUUCGGCGUUUGUCGAAGCUAAGAAGGGAACGCGGUCAAUGCCGCGGCUGCCCCCGCAACUGUGAACGGUGAUGUUCGUUGCCACGCCACUGCAGGCUCAAUCCAUGAGGCCGGCGGGAAGGCGCAGCGAAUGCCAGGCCCAAGGCCGGCACACCGUCAGCCAGGAGACCUGCCUCGACACAGAUUCUCAA
rnacentral:ncRNA from 2 species